rnacentral:lncRNA from 1 species
UUUAUUUCUACGACCAGGUCUAAACAAGUUUCAUUGGAUUAAAAAUCUGGAAAAGCAUCCAAGGUUUAGCGACUCCGCUCAAACUAAGUUUGUGUUUCUUUUGGUUGUUGACAGUUGUAAAUACUCGAUUUUGCCCGGACUAAAAAGCCCAAUUACAUACAGCCCAGAAUGAAAUUAAAGGCCCAAAUUACAUUGGCCCCAAAAUUAUCAGAAACCCUAGGGUUUCCAAUCUUCAAGCGCCGCAGCCAAAUACCGAAACACGAUCUCCACACCUGCAAGAAAUAAACAGAAUAUGGUAAGAGAAUCAAGGAUUUGCAAAUCAAAAGAUAUCAAUAGAUUUGUUUCUUUAUAUCAUAUUAUGGCUAUAAAAUGUCAUUGAAUACACUGUAAUUAGGAUCGAAAAAAAAUCAAUAAAGAAUACGAUUAUUUUCACAAGCAAAUACAACACAGAGAGAAAAUCAAUCCAAAGUUUUACAUCUAUAGUUUUUUUUUAUUUUUUUAUUUUGCUUUAUUUAAAUCUACUGUUAUUUUUUUUAUUCAUAUUUAAAUAAAACAAAUAAAAAAGGAGAGAAGCUACCUUUAAUCGAAUCAGAACCACCGUGGACGGUUGAGGGAGCCACCCCCGAGGAUCGAUGGCCGGAAACCGAAAGGUUUUGGAUUUACUUCGCAUUUUCUUUUGGUUUUUUGAGGGUUUUGAACUCGGAUUUUCGUUUAGGGGCUUUAAAGGGACCGAAUAGGGGAUUUUCUCCUUUUUCGGCCACCGCAGAUGGUGGUUCCAGCAAUGGAGAUUGGCGGCCGGUGCGGUGGCCGAUGAUUGGCCCCUGGCCGGAGAACAGAGGGGUUGAGAGCUUUUUUUUUGAAAGGAUUUUGUUUUUUU